rnacentral:snRNA from 1 species
AAAGUUGCAGGGCAGUGGCCCUCCAGGACUGGAGUUUGACACCUGUGCUGUAGGUGGAUCGCUCAGGGUGAGGAUCAGCCAUUGCACUGCGGCGAUCUGACCUCUGUGAAUUCUCCACAUGGGAGAAUCUCAACUGCACAAUUUAUGGUAGUGGGGGACUGCGUUCGCGCUCUCCCCUG